rnacentral:lncRNA from 1 species
UUGGUUCAUAGUAUUUUGGAUAAGUUAAGAAGUCUGCUGAACCAAAGUCUGAGACUCGAGUCGACUCCCGAGUAUCACGAGUCGACUCCAAGCGUAUCAAGUUCACUGGCACGAGCUCGAGUCGACUCCAGAUCAGUACGAGUCGACUCCGACUGAGAAUAGACAGAAGGACAGAAAGCUUCAACUCAGAAACUGUCAACGAGUCGACUCCCGAAGUGCGCGAGUCGACUCCAAUGUUCAAUGAGUCGACUCCAGGGUAGUAAGAGUCGACUCCAAGAGAAACACAAAGAAAAGUCAGAGAGCAGUUUUCGGGUCUGAGAUUCGAGUCGAC